GCUGGGUGCAGUGGUGCGUGCCUGUAAUCCAUGCUACCGUGAGGCUGAGGCUGGCGGAUCGUUUGAGCUCAGGAGCUCUGAGCUGCAGCGGACUAUGCCGAUUGGGUGUCCGCAUUAAGUUCGGUAUCGAUAUGGUGCUCAUGGGGGAGCCCGGGAGCACCAGGUGGUCUAAGGAGGGGUGCAGCGGGACCCAGUCUUUUUACACUCUUUCUACUGUUCAACAAACUGCUGGGACAACACACACACACACUCAACAACGUUACAAUAUGUUACAUCGGCUUCAU
ensembl:misc_RNA Metazoa_SRP Metazoan signal recognition particle RNA